GAUGAACGCUGGCGGCGUGCCUAAUACAUGCAAGUCGAGCGAACAGACGAGGAGCUUGCUCCUCUGACGUUAGCGGCGGACGGGUGAGUAACACGUGGAUAACCUACCUAUAAGACUGGGAUAACUUCGGGAAACCGGAGCUAAUACCGGAUAAUAUAUUGAACCGCAUGGUUCAAUAGUGAAAGACGGUUUUGCUGUCACUUAUAGAUGGAUCCGCGCCGCAUUAGCUAGUUGGUAAGGUAACGGCUUACCAAGGCAACGAUGCGUAGCCGACCUGAGAGGGUGAUCGGCCACACUGGAACUGAGACACGGUCCAGACUCCUACGGGAGGCAGCAGUAGGGAAUCUUCCGCAAUGGGCGAAAGCCUGACGGAGCAACGCCGCGUGAGUGAUGAAGGUCUUCGGAUCGUGAAACUCUGUCAGUGGGGAAGAACAAAUGUGUAAGUAACUAUGCACGUCUUGACGGUACCUAAUCAGAAAGCCACGGCUAACUACGUG
rnacentral:rRNA from 1 species